CCGGCCGCGCAGGGGGCGCGCAACUCCGCGCGGGGCUCCGCGCCGCCCCCUUCCCGGCAACUUUUUGCUCCUCGCUGGGAGCUGCCGGAGGGUCCCGCCCGGCAGCCGGGGCUGGGUGCGGUGGUAGAGAAAUGAGUCUGGUCUGCAGAGCGGUGGAGCUUGUGGAGAGAGGUUAUGACUGGAACUGGAGUUUUGGAUACAAAGAAUGAGAGGAAGGUGAAACAGAAGAAUUUUGAGAAAUUUAGAGGGUCUAGCAUCCUGGACUUUACAAGAAGGAGGAAACACACUGACAGGGAGUAAUCUAUAACCUUCUCUUGAGCAUCCGAAAGAAAACAUUCACAUGACAUGAAAGAAGUGAAGUAUUUCUGAAGGAAGGCUACUCCACUAGUUAUAAUAGAACAUGCGUGCAAAUGAAAAGUAAGUUUCCAAACACCUGCAAUUAUUGCAAGACUCUCAAAGGAAAUGAACAGCUUCAAAACUGCAGCUGCUAGAAGGACACAGCAAAAAACUGCAGGCAAUUCCAUCCAGUUUUGCCAGAAGAAUGACUUCCUGUGAGUGGACUACAGCCCUGAAACAGACCUGGAUGUGAAUCUGCUGAUGAUUAGGGAACUCCAACUGGUUCGGAAAGCUGUGACAUUUCCUUAGCUGCACAGCUACCACAAACGUAGGAGACCUUCCACUGGUUUCCCAUAGAAUUUUUAGUCAAGUUCAAGGACUCUUUGCUUAUCUUUAUAGUUUGGUCUCAGAUACCUAGGAGUCUGUCUAAAGUUCUGGAAUGAUGUGUAUGUUCUUCCGGCACAACAGGACUUCCUAUAGUAAGGGCAAACGUGUAGGAGGUGAAGGCUUCCUAGGGACUGGUCUGGUACUUGGAAAUCAUUUAUAUGGUAAUAAAGAUCAUUAAAAAAUAUUGUUUCCAGUGAAAACUGCAUUUUAUUAAUUCUGCAUUUUCAAUUUUUCUGUCUCUGUAGCUAUAUUGUAUUAAUAUCACUUCUCCCAUCACCCCCACUCCAAUCCUAUACAGUGAAAAUAUAUUGUUUUAGUUAUAUAUUUCCACCAGAUACCUGGCUCUAUAUGGUCUGAAAAAUACAGUUUUCUAAAUACAUAGUAAAUACUGUGAUAUUGUGUAUUUAAAGGGGUGCAGUUUUCUGUAUGUAUGCUGUAGAAAUAUUGUUUUUAGUUAGUAUGCAGAGUCUGCAGAAUCAGAUUGGAUGUCGCUUGGAAAUAUCUGCAAAUAGCAGUGGUUAUUUGGUAAGAUAGAAUGAAAGAAGAACUAUUGGUGUGAGAUGGUCAAGCUAUAUAGGCACUAACAAAGCAGUCAGUUAAAUGAAGUGUGUAGUAAACUUGUACUUGGCAGAGAAAAAAACAUGAAUUAUCAAUAUGAGAGAAAAGAAUCAUUAUUGUUACCUUAGUGAGGUCUGAGGGUUUAUGCAAUUGUCAUCCCAGAUUUUCUUCUGAUGACACUUUAAAUUAAAGUCCCAGGCAAAUGAAUUCUUGUUGGUGAAACUGAGAAAUAAUCAUUAAAAUGUAGUGGCUUAGGAAGAAAAGGUAUGCAAGACCUAAGCUGAUCAAUGAAAGAAAAUGCAACGCCUAGCAGAAAAAUUGUUGUGUAAAAUCUAGAAAUAAGACCUCCAUUUACCUUUGUACUUGGAACCUGUGAAAUUGUUGCUCAAGUAAUUCUUCUAUAAUUCUUCUGCACCACCCAUACAUCAUAUUACCUUGUAAGUGUGAUCAAAGAAAAAUUAGCAACCAGAAAAAGUGAAGGGUUGGUGUACUUGAUAAAGCUUCUUUUACAUAUCAAAACUGAUUUUAAACAAGGCCAUGUACUGGUUAUGUUGAACUGCAUAUGCUACAUUAAAAAAAAAAAGAUAAUGAAUACUGAAAACAAUAACUGUUUUAUCAUACUGAGUAAUUUCGGAUUCGCUAUUUUUAGGUUUGUUUUUUUUUAAAGAGAAAUAGAAAAGCUGAUCCUAAAGAUCAACUUUUGAAUAUAAAAUAGAACCUAAAGCCACAUGAUAUGGCCUUAAACAUUAACAAAACCUAUUAAUCAAAACAACACUAAUGAAAAAGUUUUUACUGUAUUGGCCCCAUUCAACUAGUUGACAGCUUACAAAAAUAACAUGCAAGAAAUCAAAAUUUUUCACUUAAAAAAUUAGGAGCAAAAGGAUGGAGAGAACAUUCAGUAGAUGUGAUGAAAAAAUAUGCAGAAAAGCAUACUUAUAAAGUACAAAGCAAGAAAGGAUUGUUAUACUUACUUACAAUGGAAUCCAUAGGGUUUCCACAGGGACUUGUUUGAACUAAGGCGUGAUUUUUAAGCAACACUAAUUUGAAAUUUGCCAGCGGUGAAUAAUUCACUGUGUCCUUUUCUGAAGCUGCCCUAACAGCUUUUACUCGUCAUGUUAAAAAUCUAAGCUACUGUCUCCAAACCAAACCCACACCGUGUCGGCUUAUUAGGGCUCUGUCUUUAAAACUUACCCCUUUCGGUGGUGUCUUGCUUUCUUAGCGUGUCUUGCUGAAUAUCCUGCUCUACAGCACAGGAUAUAGACACACAGCAUGGAAUUCGGUCCUGAUGGUCCUCACUCGGAGGGGUACAAGUUUUAUAGAAGUAGUUUUGUCCAUGAGCCUGUGGAGCAAAGGAGGUGCAACAGCUCCAACACUUGCUCGGUUGGCACGCACUGGUUGCAGCAGCUUUUUCAAUUCAUAGACUAGUCUUAGCAACUACAGCCCCAGCCAAGCACACGGAGCCAAGUUCUGUUCUUAGUUACACUGAUGUAAUUCUGAAUAGGCGCUGGCCUGUUUUAUUCAUUCAUAGCGCAUGCUGGUGUUAAUGUAUUUGGAUAUGAAAAUAACGCUCAUUCAAGUAACCUCCCACUCAUGUAAUAUUACUGUUCUCACUGCAAUUAAUGAACGGUUUGACUAGAGUGAAGACUUCAGAAUUUUGUAAAUAUUCAGUUAGUGUAUAAUUAGCUGCCAAAUUCAAACUCGUUUGCCACUGAGGUGAAGGCAACUCUGCUGAAUUUAUUGGAACUGCAUCUGGUUUCAAGCUGCCUCAUAGUUUCAUUUAAACCAGAAGAAUCUGCAUGCUUGAAAGGGCAAUUUGGAAUAGUAAAUGUUUCAACCAGGCUGUGUAGAAAGCGUAGGUCCGUAUUUCCUUUCACCCUAGCAUAAAUUUGGGAGAAUCAGCUUUUACUCUCAUAUAUAUUUGAUGCAAGACAGCUAAGAAACGUGCUGAGCUUUUUUCCUGUUUUUGCUUUCCAUAUCUGAAAAUAAAAAGUGUUAGCACUGCUUCCAUACUCUCAGUAAAUAAAUAUUUCACCGUCACUGUAUUCUGAAUUUUAUAUAUGUGCUUAAAAAGUGCCAAUUCAGUAUUUAAGCAAUAAUUAAAAAAAAAUAAUCUUUAUUAAAAAGUUAUGGUUUUUGACUUAAUGGCCUAGGGUGAAGCCAAGGGCAGAUAACACUCCAGCAAACUAGCUGUUAAUUUCGUUAAUGACUGAUUUCCUCAGGAUUAUUGCUAUUGUAAACUAAAUUCAAUGAUUUAGAAUAGAAAUUAUACAAUUUUUGUGCCCCCCCCCCCCCUUAAAUUAUCUAUGACAUGAUUUGAGGCACAUUUAGGAGAACAGCUAUUUUUAAUUUAGCCUUUCUGUCCUUAUCUUUAUCCUGACUAUCUUGGACAUAUGUAUUUUUACUAAAAAUCCAAACCUAGUAAAUUAUCAGUGUACAAUUCAGCUAAAAACCUAAACAUUUAAAUUAGGCAGAGAGGGCAUGAAGAAAGGAAAUGCGUGUACUCCAGCUUCACGUAUGGAUAAAACUGACGCCAAUUAAAAUUCAUCUCAAACCUACCCGGGUAUAUUCUGCCUGCAUCUGUUAGGAACUUUUCUCUCCAUAAAUUUCUUUCACCACUCUUACAAAAGAGAAAUGCAGUCAAACGGAAACCAGUGCAAACUUCAUGCAAAUGAUUCAUGCUGCUUCUGUGUUGCUGUAUUUUACUGAAGCAAUGCAAAGGAUCGUAAUACUAGCACAAUGCUUAAAAAAAGCAGUAAUAGAUUUUGAAUAAAGAGCUCUGCAUUCUGCUGGCAACCGAGGAGUUCAAACAGAAAACAUGCCAGCAGUAUAGACCAAUGCAUUAUCACCCCCUCCCUCUUGCUGCAUAACUGUGCUUCAUAAUAUGCCAUAACAUUGGCAAGCACAGCUCAGAGCUUUUUAAGAACACAAGGAAGCUCAUGAAUAAUGGUUGAAUCAGGAAAGUGAUAAUUAAAUGAGACAACUGAAUGCCAGUGGAGUCCCCAGUGGAAAAUACUCUUCAGUGAAGAUCAUCUCCACCUUUCAUUUCGCUGGUUUUAGCAGUACAUUGCUAAAGAUAUUUUUCAAACCAACAUUUUAAAGACAGUAUUAAGGUUCCCAAAAACAGUGUGUGGUAUUUUCAUAUGUAACCCCUAUUUUAAAAGGUAAGGUAUUUGUUGUGCUUCAAAGAGAAAAAGAAAAAAAAAGCUUUCAUUGUUGACUCGUUGAGAUAAAAUAUUUUGCUGUUUUACAGAACUAGUUGAUACCGUAAAAUUUAUAUUAAAAAUGCAACAAUGACUAAUGGCUAAACCAUAAGCAUCCUGGCUUAAAUGUUUAGUUCAUGUUUCUCCUUGUAUAGGAGGUAUAGUUAUUUUCAUUCCACCUUAAAUUCCACCUACUCUGUGGCCUCAGAGCAAACAUGGUUAGCUGAAGUGUCUACUCUUCUGCUGCCAGUCUCAAGGAAGACAGCUCUAAGCUUUUUGUACAACAAGUGUCUCUACUAACCUCCCUCCUGUCGCAGCACCACGUUCCUUCUGAACUUGUGAUGGGAGGAGAGGUUGCAGUGUUCUUUGCACAUUAUUCCAACUGCAGUGGGACUCAGAGCCAGAAGCCGCAAGCUUUGGACACAACUCUUUUUUGUUGUUGUUUGUACUUGCCAAAUAAAUGCUUCUCUAAUGGUACAGGAGUUAACUCCUCAAAAAGGAAAUGAGAAAUGAGUCUUACUGUGGAACAAAAAAAUUGCUUUCUGUUUAAGCACUAGAAGUUAAGGUGACUUCAGCGGCGCGAAAUUCAUGUGGACAGGACAGUGAAACACAACAGGUUUUUGUGACUUAUAGUGUAUGUAACAUAUAUUCAUUCAUUCAUUCAGCCAUUCAUUCAUUCACUUUUAUUUGAAAUAAAAUUUGUUCCUUUUUUAUCA